UAUGGCUUCGAAGCCCUCGCAAUAGUAUUUUUUCAGCAGCUCUGGAGUUUGUUACUGGUAGAAAUAUAUUCCACACUCAACCUUGUAAAUGAUGAACUGGAGGAAUUAUUUACUCAUGCUGCAACCGCUCGGCGUGACGGCCACGAGAAUGAAUACGUCCACCAACUUAACCUGAGCUACGACGCGAUAUGCGACAUAUUGAUACAAGUGGACAAAAACAACGGGCCCUUUUUGCUGUGUGGUUUCAUAUUGCUAUGCCUGCUUUUGUUGAUAACUUCAUAUAAUGUGAUUGCAGCUUUAUUAUGUACUAACUGUAAGGAUGAACAAGAGUGGUAUUUGUCAAUAGGAAUACAAGUAAACUGGUGUUUGCUACACUUGAGCCAUCUAGUGGUCUUGGUGGAACCAUGCCACUGGCUCCUGAAACAGAGGGAACGUACCAGCCGCCUGUUAAACAAGCUGGUAUGCCACGCCGACCGUUGCGGCCUUAGCCGCAUGACGCUUGAUCCAUUCCUACUACAGACUCAGAUGCACAACUGCACACUGGCACCCUGUGGCGUGUUCACCAUCACGAGGCCUCUUCUGGC